rnacentral:rRNA from 1 species
GUAGGUGAACCUGCGGAGGGAUCAUUAAAGAGUUUACAAAACUCCCAAACCCAUGUGAACGUUACCUUCUGUUGCCUCGGCAGGGGACGCGGGACACUGCUCCCGCGAGCUCCCCCCUGCCGGCGGCCCUGAAAACUCUGUUUCGUACAUGAAUUCUGAAUCAAUAACUAAAUAAGUUAAAACUUUCAACAACGGAUCUCUUGGUUCUGGCAUCGAUGAAGAACGCAGCGAAAUGCGAUAAGUAAUGUGAAUUGCAGAAUUCAGUGAAUCAUCGAAUCUUUGAACGCACAUUGCGCCCGUCAGUAUUCUGGCGGGCAUGCCUGUUCGAGCGUCAUUUCAACCCUUAAGCCCUCGUUGCUUAGCGUUGGGAGCCUACCCGGGCCUCUCUGGGUAGCUCCCCAAAGUCAGUGGCGGAGUCGGUUUCACGCUCUAGACGUAGUAGUUUUAUUCUCGUCUGCAGCUGGGCCGGCGUCCUGCCGUAAAACACCCCAAUUCUUAUAGGUUGACCUCGGAUCAGGUAGGAAUACCCGCUGAACUUAAGCAUAUCAAUA